AUUGAACGCUAGCGGGAUGCUUUACACAUGCAAGUCGAACGAGUGGCGGACGGGUGAGUAAUACAUCGGAACGUGGCCAGUAGAGGGGGAUAACUACUCGAAACUGUGGCUAAUACCGCGUACUAUUGGAGGGGCCGAUAUGGGAUUAGCUAGUUGGUGGGGUAAAGGCUCACCAAGGCAACGAUCCGUAGCUGGUCUGAGAGGAUGACCAGCCACACUGGGACUGAGACACGGCCCAGACUCCUACGGGAGGCAGCAGUGGGGAAUUUUGGACAAUGGGGGAAACCCUGAUCCAGCCAUCCCGCGUGUAUGAGAAGGCCUUCGGGUUGUAAAGUACUUUUGGCAGAGAAGCGGUAUCUGCAGAAUAAGCACCGGCUAACUACGUGCCAGCAGCCGCGGUAAUAC
rnacentral:rRNA from 1 species